rnacentral:rRNA from 1 species
AGAGUUUGAUCAUGGCUCAGGAUGAACGCUAGCUACAGGCUUAACACAUGCAAGUACGAGGGGAAACGACAUCGGAAAAGCUUGCUUUUGAUGGGUGUCGACCGGCGCACGGGUGAGUAACGCGUAUCCAACCUGCCCACCACUUGGGGAUAACCUUGCGAAAGUAAGACUAAUACCCAAUGAUAUCUCUAGAAGACAUCUGAAAGAGAUUAAAGAUUUAUCGGUGAUGGAUGGGGAUGCGUCUGAUUAGCUUGUUGGCGGGGUAACGGCCCACCAAGGCAACGAUCAGUAGGGGUUCUGAGAGGAAGGUCCCCCACAUUGGAACUGAGACACGGUCCAAACUCCUACGGGAGGCAGCA